AACCCCUAUUGUUACGUUGCCAUCAUUCAGUUGGGCACUCUAGCGAGACUGCCGGUAAUAACCGGAGGAAGUGGGAUGACGUCAAAUCAUCAUGCCCUUAUGACCUGGGCUACACACGUGCUACAAUGGUUGGUACAACGAGUUGCGAGUCGGUGACGGCGAGCUAAUCUCUUAAAGCCAAUCUCAGUUCGGAUUGUAGGCUGCAACUCGCCUACAUGAAGUCGGAAUCGCUAGUAAUCGCGGAUCAGCACGCCGCGGUGAAUACGUUCCCGGGCCUU
rnacentral:rRNA from 1 species